ncrna:length=3748
UAAGUACCAUUCUGGAUGUUUCUCUGAGUCAUAUGUCAAAUUUAUAUAUCUACGACUAGAGGAACAUUCAGCAUUGGUUAUGGU